CGCAGCGCUCUCAAGUAUGCACUCUUCUCAUCCUCACAUUACAGGUGACGCAAGAAAUGUGGUCACUUGACCAGGACAUCUCGCUUGUACUGGUCGCACUUCAAAUGUUCUGUCAGUCACGUGUACAGGAUGGUCCUGUUCUGAGCUCUUCCCUGACCUCAGCAGGUCCAAGCUACUGUCCUGGAAUGCCAACUAGUACCUGCUGCCCCAAAGGAAGGAGAGAAGCACCCCAUGAUCCCUGGUCUCCCAAAGCUGAUGAUGCACUCCCAGCCCUCGCUCCAUCCAGCCUUCUCCCCACCUGACAGAUGUCUUGGAGGUGAAGGAAAAGAUCCCAAAAGAUGAAUUCCUUAUUGGGGUCACGGAGUUAACAUUAUCUCUUCCAGGUUGGACUCCAAGUGGGGGUGGAUGCAGUUGUCAUAAAUGACACAAGGGCACACUCCUGGACAUCACUGCAAGCCCUGGGUUUGGGGCCUUUGGUCCCCUGCCCUGGAGCCUCUGGAUUCUGUCUCAGCCACCUAAAACAAUGCAACACGCCAUUUUCCACGCAGGCAUUUAGAGGCCAUUUGAAAAUGGAAACGGAUCUUCGGAUGCGUUUGCAAGGCCCUCUACAGCUGCAGAAGGGCUGGAAGGGGGCGGUUCAGAACAGGGUAAAAAGGCACAGUCAGAAAUUUGAUAUUAACCUCGCUUUUGCAAAUAAAGCAGCUUCACGAUCAUUGCUGCACGCGCGCGUUCAAUCUUCCCAGGCUGAGAAAAGCAGAGAAACAGUUUUGACAGAAACAUUACCCUGAAGGCCGACCCUGUUUAAAAGGGGGAAAACGUCUCAGGGUUCGAUGUUGUCUUACUGGCAACCCGAAAACAGUACGUGAGAAUUCGUUUUUCUC